rnacentral:rRNA from 1 species
CCUACGGGAGGCAGCAGUGGGGAAUCUUGCGCAAUGGGCGAAAGCCUGACGCAGCCAUGCCGCGUGAAUGAUGAAGGUCUUAGGAUUGUAAAAUUCUUUCACCGGGGACGAUAAUGACGGUACCCGGAGAAGAAGCCCCGGCUAACUUCGUGCCAGCAGCCGCGGUAAUACGAAGGGGGCUAGCGUUGCUCGGAAUUACUGGGCGUAAAGGGAGCGUAGGCGGAUAGUUUAGUCAGAGGUGAAAGCCCAGGGCUCAACCUUGGAAUUGCCUUUGAUACUGGCUAUCUUGAGUGUGGGAGAGGUAUGUGGAACUCCGAGUGUAGAGGUGAAAUUCGUAGAUAUUCGGAAGAACACCAGUGGCGAAGGCGACAUACUGGCCCAUUACUGACGCUGAGGCUCGAAAGCGUGGGGAGCAAACAGGAUUAGAUACCCUGGUAGUCCACGCUGUAAACGAUGAGUGCUAGUUGUCGGCAUGCAUGCAUGUCGGUGACGCAGCUACGACAUAAGACACUCCGCCGUCGGGGUAGGUACGGUCGCGAAGAAGUUAAAACGUAACGAAAGGAAGUUAGACGCGUGAGACGUCGCCGACGGACGACGACGAGGGAGGAGG